CGCGUAGGCGGGGAGGUAAGUCGGGUGUGAAAUCCCUCGGCCCAACCGAGGAACUGCGCCCGAGACUGCUUCUCUUGAGUCCCGGAGAGGAAGAUGGAAUUCCCGGUGUAGCGGUGAAAUGUGUAGAGAUCGGGAGGAACACCGGUGGCGAAGGCGGUCUUCUGGACGGUGACUGACGCUGAGGCGCGAAAGCGUGGGGAGAAGCG
rnacentral:rRNA from 1 species